rnacentral:rRNA from 1 species
CCUACGGGAGGCAGCAGUGAGGAAUAUUGGUCAAUGGGCUUACGCCUGAACCAGCCAAGUCGCGUGAGGGAAGACUGCCCUAUGGGUUGUAAACCUCUUUUGUCAGGGAGCAACGCCGGCUACGUGUAGCCGGACUGAGAGUACCUGAAGAAAAAGCAUCGGCUAACUCCGUGCCAGCAGCCGCGGUAAUACGGAGGAUGCGAGCGUUAUCCGGAUUUAUUGGGUUUAAAGGGUGCGUAGGCGGAAUGCCAAGUCAGCGGUAAAAUCGCGGGGCUCAACCUCGCUCCGCCGUUGAAACUGGCGUUCUGGAGUGGGGGGGAGGUAUGCGGAAGGCGUGGGGGAGGGGUGAAAUGCAUAGAUAUCACGAAGAACUCCGAUUGCGAAGGCAGCAUACCGGCGCCCAACUGACGCUGAAGCACGAAAGCGUGGGUAUCGAACAGGAUUAGAUACCCCGGUAGUC